rnacentral:rRNA from 1 species
GCAAGUCGAGCGAGAAAGCACUUCGGUGCGAGUACAGCGGCGGACGGGUGAGUAACACGUGAGCAACCUGCCCUGAAGUGGGGGAUAGCCCGGGGAAACUCGGAUUAAUACCGCAUAUGGUCUUCGGAUCAAAGAUGGCGUAAGCUAUCGCUUUGGGAUGGGCUCGCGGCCUAUCAGCUAGUUGGUGAGGUAACGGCUCACCAAGGCGACGACGGGUAGCUGGUCUGAGAGGACGACC